GACGAACGCUGGCGGCGUGCCUAAUACAUGCAAGUCGAACGCAGUGGGGACGGGUGAGUAACACGUGGGUAACCUCCCAUCAGAGGGGAUAACACUUGGAAACAGGUGCUAAACCGAUACUGAUGGAUGAACCCGCGGUGCAUUAGCUAGUUGGUGAGGUAACGGCUCACCUAGGCGACGAUCUCUAGCUGGUCUGCGAGGAUGAUCGGCCACACUGGGACUGAGACACGGCCCAGACUCCUACGGGAGGCAGCAGUGGGGAAUAUUGGCAAAGGGGCGCAAGCCUGAUGGAGCCAGGCCGCGUGUAUGAAGAAGGCCUUAGGGUUGUAAAGUACGUUCAGCGGAGAAGCGUUACCCGAAGAGAAAGCACCGGCUAACGCCGUGCCAGCCGCCGCGGUAAUAC
rnacentral:rRNA from 1 species